GAUGAAGAACGCAGCGAAAUGCGAUAAGUAAUGUGAAUUGCAGAAUUCAGUGAAUCAUCGAAUCUUUGAACGCCCAUUGCGUCCGCCAGUAUUCUGGCGGGCAUGCCUGUUCGAGCGUCAUUUCAACCCUCAAGCCCCCGGGCUUGGUGUUGGGGAUCGGCGUGCCCUCGCGGCGCGCCGUCCCCUAAAUCUAGUGGCGGUCUCGCUGUAGCUUCCUCUGCGUAGUAGCAACACUCGCACUGGAUCGCAGCGCGGCCACGCCGUUAAACCCCCCACUUCUGAAAGUUUGACCUCGGAUCAGGUAGGAAUACCCGCUGAACUUAAGCAUAUCAAUAAGCGGAGGA
rnacentral:misc_RNA from 1 species